rnacentral:lncRNA from 1 species
CGGAAAGUAGAGCUGAACAGUCUCCUGAAUUCUGUUCUAAGAAACAGAAACAAAAAGAUGGUGGAAAUAUCUGCUUUAAUCAUCUAAAUCUACUCAUGUUUUGCAACAGGCCCAACAGAUAGAGUUUUUAUAUGAGCAGGUGAGCAAUAUUGUUGCUAUUUUAGUUUCCAGUCGAAUAUAACUUCUAUCUUGUUAACAUGCAAGAAAGUCAUUUCUCUCUAUUGUUUAAAUGAUUCAAACAAUCUCUUCAUUUUCUGUAUGAACUUUACCAUGUGUAACCAUUUACUGGUUAGAACAAACAUCACAAUCGAUGGGUCUUUCAUUGUUUUAUAUCUAACUAUUUCUACUGUUAUAUUUUUAGUUUCCUCGUUAAGAAUUUAGAAGCAUCUCAAGCAUUCUAAUGUUCCCAUUCUGAAAAGAACAAAGAAAGUUUAGAAAAUAAUGAACUGAUAGAAGUGGUUGUAGACCGAAUUUAGAACUGCACCAGACAGAAUUUAGAAUGAUAUUUCUUUCAUUGGUAGAUCAUUUCAAUGUGUAUAAAACUGAAAAUGGUUAACCAGGUUACAUUCUUCCUCGAACUUCAACACACAGAAUUUAGAAUGAUAUUUCUUCCAUUGGCACAGUUUCAUGGUCUUCCUGUAAAGCAAUUCUCACAGCUUAGUCUAUCAUACCAUAUACUUUUAUAACAUAGCAGAUUCGCAGACCAUAUAGGUGAACCACGAUUAUAAUGGUUUUGCUAGUUGUUUAACUUCCUAAGAGUGAGACACAUUAGCAAAUUAGGCUGGACAUUCUGUUUAGUAUUCAAAGAUUGAUGAAGGCUGAGACCCAUUAGCAAAUUUGCCAAUGUUACCUUGGGAGUAUCAGUAAACCAACUUCUAAGUAGAAAUUUUCUUAAGGUGAAGAAAUUACAAAUCUUUUAUCACCAAAACUUAAAAAGCUUGAAAUUGUCGGCGUAAGUUAGCUAACUGUAAUAGAUCACUUGCACAUUUCUAUGAUUAACCACUCAUCUUUAUUACAGAGAAUCCGCUUCUUCAACAAUUCACCAGAAAUAGCUCACAUACCCAUUUCCCCCCCUUCUCAUUUUGUAGCCACGAUCACAUUGCUAACAAUAGACCCAUGAUUGAGGGUCACAUAGGGAAACUACCAAAAUAAAGGAAGAAAGAGAAAAACUUUUCACUAUCUAAGGAUGUGCAAGUAGCACACGUGGAGGAUAAAUGAUAGGCUAUGAUGUAACGCUAUAUAAACAAUAAAAAUUAUCCUUACCAUAGAAUAUUCAGCAAAUCAACAUGCCUCUUUUUCCUUCUUUGCACAUUCCUGGACAAAAACCUGUAAUAAGAAGGCAUAUCAGUUUUUAAACGGAAAUACAGCAGGGGGCAGCAGAAUCACAUAAGGAACAGGAAAUAUGAAGUAUAGUUUUUUUCAAACUGAACUUGUGUAUACCUGGGCUACACUCGAAAACUGGAUUCUGUAUUUGUAACUAAUAGAUCUAGAGGUUAUUUUAGCUUCUAUCUCAUUGUUUAUCUCUAGACGAACUCCAUGCUUCAAAAAUUAUACAAGAUCAAUCUACAUUUGUAAGAAAAGUACAAAUUCCUUCGUAGUUAUAAUUGUGUACAAGGUAAAAUAGGAUUAUAAUUAAGGAAAUUGUAUACUGUCGAGAUCGAGUUCGCCUACGACAUGAAAGGACAGGCUCGGAACAUGACAAUACGAGACUGAAGAUCGGCCCCAAGUCAUAUCGGGCUAGAACCCGGGGUCAGAACACCUGCCUUCGAGAACAUUGAGUCUGAAACCCCGGAGUCGACCCUAGCCCCGAAUGAGCUCGGAGAAGCAUUGUUAGCAUAACUAACGGAAGACCGAAAUAUUCGUAACCGGGCAGAUGUUGAGGCGGGAAUCUCGGCGCGUAUCAGUAAGGAACCGUCAAUCAGCAAAUCAAGGGAUUUUCACCUUUUAUAGAAUUGUACCUAAAGUAGGACUCAUCUAAUAUAUAAAGGGGGUCUGAUAAUUCAUUGAGAACAUUGUAACACGCAUCCCAAAGCAAUACGUUAUUAUUAUUUCUCUUUAAGUUCUUGUUCUUCUGAAUCCUGACACUGAUCGAAGCGUACCUUGCUCGAGGGUAAUUAACCUUCCAAGGCUAAGACUGUUCAAUUCGUGUGUUUGCAUUUACUUUAUCAUUAGAAGUGGAAUGGGAAGUGGACCCCUUUUAUUAUUCACAGUUGCUUAGCCCAUAUAAUAAUACUAGUAUAGGUUAUUAUAUUUACACAUUUGGCACUUUAUUUCCUUUUAUUUCCCGUUUUGCCUAAGAGUUAGUUAUGUUAGCUCAGCCACUAUCACGUGGACUGAGCUGUGGAAUGCCAAUCCCACCAUAUAGCUUGCAGCACAGCUCAAGGAGCACCUAUUGUGAAGUGAAUGCACUCUGUUAUUUUCCUUUCUCUCUUUUAUUUUCUCUGUUAAUUCCCUCUUAAGAUAUCAGUGGUAUCAGAGCAAUUACCUGCUCUGUGGGUGUGCUGCCAUGGAUGGUGAGAUGGAUGAAGUUUUGACGCCGCUCGAUCGAAUGGUUGUGCGACAAGACCAGCUCGAAUCGGUGCAUGAAAGCGCCUUUCGCGAGUUGAAGGACACGAUUGGGAUUGUUCGAAGCAUAGAGAAGGAUAAGCAGCAAGCCUUACUGGCAUCAUCGUCGAAGGAACUGUAUUCUCCAACUAUUGGACCAGGGGAUCUAUCAGGUAUCCAAAAUGCUUCCUCUCCUCGUCAAUUUGUAGCUCUUAGUAGCUCUGUUCAAACCAAAUGUCACCAGGCUAUCCCAAUUUUGAAAUCGUAUUUAACCCCAGUUUCAUUACCAAUUCCAAAUUCUCAAUUUCCCAGUUCCCAACUCCCAGCUAAUUUCGUUACAUUACCACUUCAAUCCCCUCGCUUACCAAAUCUUUAUACCCCCAAACCCAGUUUUGCUCAAAUUCCUAAUUCUCAGAUGGUUGGUAACCCUGUAUCAGCUCUGAUGUAUAGUCCUAACUUUACCCAUCAAUUACCUCCAUAUACGUAUCCUUUUUAGAAUCUCUAUGCCUCAUACUCACCAAACUCAGCUCACUAUAACUUCUCUUCUUUCCCAUAUAACCCAGACUAAAAUUACCCAAAUCCAACCCUACAUUACCAUAACCCAAACCAGUACAACACCCUUCCACUACUCCCAAAUCACCAAACACUCACCAGGUUGUCAAAGAUAGAGUUAUCCAGGUUCAAUGGAAAGGGAUUUCAGGAAUAGUGGUAUAGAUAUGAACAAUUUUUCUCAUUAGAUGAGGUCCCUUCUAGACAAAAAGUCAUUAUUGCUGCUAUACAUUUGAACGACAUUGCUCUUCAAUGGCAGCAAGCAUACAUGAGGAGCAGGGCCCAUCUCCCAUAUCCUACAUGAAAUGAGUACCUUUUCGCACUGACUGAUCAAUUUGGGGCAGAAUAUGAUGAUCCCAUGACUGAACUGGUUAAUUUAGGCAAACUGGAGGUGUGGUUGAGUUCCGGGAGGUGUUUGACAGAGCCAUGACUCGACUUAACUUGGAUCCCAACCAUGUUAUAAACAUCUUUUUGAAUGGGCUGAAGCCAGAGUUAGGAGAUGCAGUUCGAAUCCACAGACCCUUUUCACUUCCCUGAGCUUAUUAUUUGGCAAAAUUACAGGAAUCAAUAUUCCUCAAACAGUCUAAAGCUAUGAGGUGUUCAACUGUUUAUCCUAGUACUUCUUCUAGAGCCAACUCAUUGUAACGACCCGGCUGGUCAUUUUAAGAGAAUUAGCCCUGAACCCCUAUUUAUUGCUCCCUCUAUUUCAUUUUGUGGUUACGUGACUAACCGGGAGGAUUUGUUUUUAGUUUCGAAGUGAAAUGGGACACAUAGUCCCUAAAAUAGAAGUUUAAGUCAUAAGAAUUGAUCGUAAUUUGAAUUGAGUGAAGAUGACUCUGGAAUGGAGUUUUGAUGGUUCCAAUAGCUACGUAGGGUGAUUUUGGUCAUAGGAGCGUGUUCGGAUGUUGAAUUGGAGGUCUGUAAGUCAUUUUAGCGUCAAUUGGCGAAAGUUGGAAAAUUGGAUGAUUUUUGAAAAAUUUGAUCGGGGGUGGACUUUUUGAUAUCGGGGUUAGAUUCUGAUUCCGGAAGUUGGAGUAGGUCCGUAAUUCCAAUUAUGACUUGUGUGUAAAAUAUUAGGUCAAUCAAACUUGAUUUGAUAGGUUUCGACAUCGGAUGUAGAAAUUUAAAGUUUUAAAGUUCAUUAGGCUUGAAUCGAUGUGCAAUUCAUGUUUUUAGCAUUGUUUGAUGUGAUUUAAAGGCUCGAUUAAGUUCGUAUGAUAUUUUAGGACUAGUUGGUAUAAUUGGUCGAGGUCCCGGGAGCCUCGGGUGGAUUCCGGAUGGUUAACGGAUCAAUUUGAACUUGUGAGAAUGGCUAAAGGCACCAGGUCUGGUGCAACCGCACCUGCGCAAGAUUGACCGCAGGUGCGAGCUCACAAAAGCGAGCGGGCGAUCGCAGAUGCGGUGAUGAUGAGGAUGGCCAAUGGUCACAGGUGCAGCGUGAAGGCCGCAGAAGCAGAGUCGCUUCUGCGAAAGAUUGAUCGCAGAAGCGGACAAGUGCUUGGGAGGCUUGUCCGCAGAAGUGGGCUUUGGACCGCAUAAGCGGUUGGCCAGCGGCAGUGACCUUCCACAGAAGCGGACGAGGGGCCGCAUAUGAGGAUGAUUGUGCGCAGGUGCGGAGUCUGGGAGUUCAACUGAACUCCACAUAUGCGAAGAUUUCACUACAAAAGCAAAUUUUUGACCACAAAAGCAAAAUCGCUAGGCAGAAAAGGGCCAAGUCCGAGGGUUUGAUUUCAUUCUCCAUUUUUGAAUCAAGAGAGCUCGGAUUGAGGAGAAAUUUUGAGGGUUUUUCAUAGGAAACAUUUGGGUAAGGAUUCUUGACUUAUUUUUGAUUUAUUUCCACUCAGAAAUCAUUUAUUCUUCAUUUAAUUAAGGAUUUGGGUUGAGAAAUUUGUGAAAAAGGUGAAAAGAUCCUUAAUUUUGAGGUUUUGAUUGAGAACUUUGUAUCGAAUUUGAGUAAUUUUGGUAUGGGUGAACUCGAUAUCGAAUGGGUGUUCGUAAUUUUUGACUUUUACCCGAUUCCGAGACAUGGGCCUGGGUCGACUUUUUGGGGCGAUUUUUCAAUUCCUUGCUAAAGUCGUAGUUUCAUUAUUUAAAUUAAUAUCUUGUAGUUGUAUUUAUAGUAUGUAAUUACUUUUGGCUAGAUUUGGGACGUUCAGAGUCGGAAAGUCGAGGGAAANNNNNNNNNNNNNNNNNNNNNNNNNNNNNNNNNNNNNNNNNNNNNNNNNNNNNNNNNNNNNNNNNNNNNNNNNNNNNNNNNNNNNNNNNNNNNNNNNNNNNNNNNNNNNNNNNNNNNNNNNNNNGGGGCAAAUCCCCUUAGGAUUUGGUACUGUUGUAACAAUUUGUGAUAUGUGAGUAUCGUGUACGCGAGGUGACGAGUGCGUACACGGGCUAAAUGUGAAGAUUAUGGCUCUUGCUGAGUAGUCUUCUUUUAAUUCCUUAACUGAGUUGCCUUAGCAUGUGUAGUUAUCAUGUUUAGCCUAGUAUCACAUGCCUACGUGUCUUAACUCUUACUUGCAAUUUGUGCAACAUGCUUAGUUGAAUUACCUACUUCCUUGACUUUGUAUUCAGUCUUUAACUGUAGGAUUCCUUGCUGCAAAAUUCAUUGUUCCAUAAGUUACGAGUUGUGUAGUUACUUUUAGGACUACGAGGCGGUAGCUCGGGAGAUCCCCGUUGCAUAUUUACUUUUGGGAAUACGAGGCGGUACCUCAGGAACUCCUCGUUGCAUAUUUACUUUUGGGACUACAAGGCGGUUCCUGGGGAGCUCCCUUGUUGUUUAUUUAUGUUUGGGACUACGAGGCAGUACCUCGAGAGCGCCCCGGUUGUUUACCUCUAUUUGCUGUGUUGUUAUCUUUCUGUAAUUUCUCAUUGUUAAAUUCUCAGUCAUUUCACUAUAUUAUUAUAUUUUCUGCCUUAUUUCCUUUUACUCCAGUAGGGGCCUAACCUGACCUCGUCACUACUCUACCGAGGUUAGGCUUGGCGCUUACUGUGUACUGUUGUGGUGUACUCAUGCUACUCUUCUGCACAUCUUUUUGUGCAGAUCCAGGUUUUUCCUACCAGGCCAGAUACUAGUAAGAUAGCCUGUACGUGAAAACUUCAAGGUACAUCUGCCAGCGUCCGUAAACCUCAGAGUCCCCCUCUAUCCUUAUUAUGUUGUUUUCCUUAUUUUCCUUAGACUCUAAUGUAUAGAGACACUUAGUUUGAACCGCAGUUUUUAUAUAUUUCAUAUGUUGAGGUUUGAGUUGAGUUUUAUAUUCCGUUAUUCCUCAAAAUUGUUAGGAUUACCUAGUCAUAGAGACUAUGUGCCGUCCCGACAUCCUACGGAGAGAAAUUUGGGUCGUGACAAGUUCGUAUUAGAGCUCUAUGUUCAUAGGUGUUAUGAGUCACAAGCAGGUUUAGCAGAGUCUCGCGGAUCGGUACGGAGACGUUUGUACUUAUCUUUGGGAGGCUAUGAAACUGUUAGGAAAAUUUCACUUCUUUGAUUCCUUGUCGUGCGAAACUUGUUGACUUCGGGAUUCUUAACUUCUAUCUUUCUAUUCUCUCACAGAUGGUGAGGAUACGUACAACUGGAUUAGAUGACUAGACACCCGCGCCCCCUACUAGAGCCAUGAGAGGCCGGGGUCAGGGCAGGGGUAGAGGCUGAGGAAGUCCACGUGGUGCAACCAGAGCACCCGCAUGAACUGCUAUAGAUGAGCCACCAGUAGCUCCAGUUGGAGGACAGGCACCUGAGACACUUGUUACUGCACCAGCCCUCCAGGAGACUCUAGCAUAGUUUCUGAGCAUGUUCAGCACCUUGGCUCAGGCAGGAUUGAUACCACUUGCUCCUGCCACAUCUCAGGCCAGGGGAGGACUCCUACCGCCUGUACCCCAGAUCAGUGGGUUCAGGUCGACCAGGUUCCAGAGAUCAUACUGAUGCAGCCGGUAGCUCUAGUUCAGCUCGAGGUUGGGGCAGCAUUUUUUGAAGGGGAGCAGCUCAGGCUCGAUAGGUACAAGAAGUACCAUCCUCCUACUUUCAGUGGUUUGGCGUCAGAGGAUGCCCAGAGUUUUCUUGAGGAGUGCCACUGUAUCCUCCGUACUAUAGGUGUUGCAGAGUCUAGUGGGGUUUCCUUCACUAUGUUUCAUCUUAUAGGAGAGGCAUAUUAGUGGUAGCGAGCAUACUGUUCGGGAAAGGGUUCGUCGAUUUAUUGAGGGGCUCAACCCCAGUAUCAGAUUUAGCAUGGCCCGAGAGUUGAAGAUAGAUAUUGCGUACCAACAGGUAGUGGGGAUUGCUAGGAGGUUGGAGGGUAUGCUGACUCGGGAGAGAGAAGAGAGAGAAGCCAAGAGGUCUCAAGAGUCUGGCACUUAUAGUAGUACUCGUGCCCCAGCUACAGCUCGUCAGGGCAGGGGUUAUAUGGAUAUGAGUCGCCCUGUUCACUCAGCACUUCCAGCCGCCAGCGGUGCUCCGGCCACUCCUAGGCCCCAGGAUCACUAUUAUGCACUGCCGGUGUCUAGUGCACCUCCUGUACGAGGUGCUUUCAGUGGUCAAUCUAGCCGAUCAGGCCCGAGCCAGCCACAACAACCACAUCCUCCGAGAGCUUAUUUUGAGUGUGGUGACACUUGCCAUAUAGUGAGGGAUUGCCCCACACUUAAGAGGGGUACACCUCCACAGAUUUCUCAGGCACCGAGUGCUCCACCGGGUCCUCAUGCUAUGAUUACAGCACCAGCUACCACUCCACCUGCACCACUAGAUCGAGGUGAAAGUCGAGCAGGUCGAGGUCGCCCUAGAGGGAGAGGCCAGGCCAGAUAAUAUGCUCUUCCUACUAGGGUGGAUGCAGUUGCAUCCGAUUCUGUCAUCACAGGUAUUGUUCCGGUCUGUCAUAGAGAUGCAUCAGUCUUAUUGGAUCCAGGCUCCACUUAUUCCUAUGUGUCAUCUUAUUUUGCUCCAUAUUUGGGUGUAUCCCGUGAUUCUCUAAGUUCACUUGUCUAUGUGUCUACACCCGUGGGUGAUUCUAUUGUUGUUGACCAUGUGUAUUGGUCGUGUUUGAUUGUUCUUAGUGGUUUUGAGACCAAAGCCGAUUUAUUAUUGCUCAGUAUGGUGGAUUUCGAUGUUAUUUUGAUCAUGGACUGGUUGUCGCCCUAUCAUGCUAUCCUUGAUUGUCACGCCAAGACGGUGAUAUUAUCUAUGCCAGGUUUACCGCGGCUAGAGGGGAGAGGUACCUUAGAUCAUGUUGCUAGCAGGGUUGUCUCAUUUCUUAAGGCUCAGCGAAUGGUUGAGAAAGGGUGUGAUGCAUAUCUAGCUUAUGUGAGGGAUGACAGUUUUGAUACUCCUACCGUUGAGUCAGUUCUAGUAGUGGGGGAUUUUCCAGAUGUAUUCCCGGCAGAUCUUCUGGGCAUGCCGCCCGACAGAGAUAUCGACUUUGGCAUUGAUUUGUUACCGUGCACUCAGCCUAUUUCUAUUCUACCUUAUUGUAUGGCCCCGGCAGAAUUGAAAGAAUUAAAGGAACAGUUGCAAGAGUUGUUCGAUAAAGGCUUCAUUUGGCCCAAUGUGUCACCUUGAGGUGCUCCUGUCUUGUUUGUAAAUAAGAAGGAUGGUUCUAUACGAAUAUGUAUUGAUUAUCGCUAGUUGAACAAGGUUGCAGUUAAGAACAGGUAUCUAUUGCCACGUAUUGAUGACCUAUUUGAUCAACUUGAGGGUGCCAGAGUGUUCUCUAAGAUCGACUUGCGUUCAGGCUAUCAUCAGUUGAAGCUUCGGGAGCCAGAUAUCCCAAAGACUACUUUCAGGACUCGGUAUGGUCAUUAUGAGUUCCUUGUGAUGUCUUUUGGGCUGACCAACAUCCCAGCAGCAUUCAUGCACUUGAUGAAGAGUGUAUUUCAACCCUAUCUUGACUUUUUUGUCAUUGUAUUUGUUGACAACAUUCUGGUGUACUCCCGAAGUCAGGAGGAUCAUGAGCAGCACCUGAGGACUGUGCUUCAUACCUUGAGAGAAAAGAAGUUGUAUGUAAGAUUUUUGAAGUGUGAAUUCUGGCAAAACUCAGUGUCAUGUUUUGGGCCAUGUAGUAUCGAGUGACGGGAUCAAGGUAGAUCCGAAGAAGAUUGAAUCAGUGCAGAGUUGGCCCAGACCAUCCUCAGCUACGGAGAUCCGAAGUUUUCUUGGCUUGGCGGGGUAUUACUGCCGAUUUGUAGAGGGUUUCUCGUCUGUUGCAGCACCUAUAACCAGAUUGACCCAAAAGUGUGCUCCGUUUAUAUGGACCGAAGAGUGUGAAGAGAGCUUUCAAAAGCUCAAGACUGCUUUGACUACAACCCCAGUGUUGGUGUUAUCUACUGGUUCGGGGUCCUAUAUGGUGUAUUAUGAUGCGUCGCGUAUUGGUCUCGGCGCGGUGUUGACGCAGGAUGGUAGGGUGAUUGCCUACGCCGUCUAGACAGCUGAAGGUACAUGAGAAGAACUAUCAUGUCCACGACCUCGAGUUAGUAGCUAUUGUUCAUUCCUUGAAGAUCUGGCGGCACUAUUUGUAUGGUGUCCCUUGUGAGGUUUUCACCGAUCACCGGAGUCUACAGCAUCUGUUUAAACAGAAGGAUCUUAACUUGCGGCAGCGAAGAUGGUUGGAGAUGCUUAAGGAUUAUGACAUCACUAUCAUCUAUCAUCUCGGGAAGGCCAAUGUGGUGGCCGAUGCCUUCAGUAGCAAGGCGGAGAGUUUGGGUAGUUUAGCAUAUCUACCAAUAGUAGAGAGGCCUUUAGCCUUGGAUGUUCAGGCCUUGUCCAACCAGUUUGUCGGAUUGGAUGUUUCCGAGCCGAGCAGAGUUUUGGCUUGUAUGGUCUCUUAGUCUUCUCUUUAUGGUCGUAUCAGAGAGCGUCAGUAUGAUGACCCCCAUCUGCUCGUCCUUGAGGACACGGUUCAGCACGAUGAUGCCAAAGAAGUCACCAUUAGAGAUGACGGUGUAUUACAGAUACAGGGCAGGCUAUGUAUGCCCAAUGUAGAUGGUUUGCGUGAGUUGAUUCUCCAGGAGGCUCAUAGUUUGCGGUACUCCAUUCAUCCAGGUGUCGUGAAGAUGUAUCAGGACUUGAGGCAGCAUUAUUGGUGGAGGCGGAUAAAAAAGGACAUAGUGGAAUAUGUAGCUCGUUGCCUAAAUUGUCAGCAUGUGAAGUAUGAGCAUCAGCGGCCAGGGGGAUUACUUCAGAAGCUAGAGAUUCCGGAGUGGAAAUAGGAGCGGAUCACUAUAGAUUUUGUUGUUGGGCUCCCACGGACUCAGAGGAAGUUCGAUGCAGUUUGGGUGAUUGUGGAUAGAUUGACCAAGUUAGCUCAUUUCAUUCAUGUGGUUACUACUUACUCUUCGGAGCAGCUUGCUCAGGUUUACAUUCGCGAGAUUAUCAGGCUUCAUGGCAUGCCGGUAUCUAUCAUUUCUUAUCAGGGUACGCAGUUUACAUCACGGUUCUGGAGACCCGUACAGCAUGAGUUGGGUACUCGGGUGGAGUUGAGUACAAUAUUUCACCCUCAGACGGACGGACAGUCCGAGCGCACUAUUCAUAUAUUGGAGGAUAUUCUUCGCGCAUGUGUGAUGUAUUUUGGGGGUGCUUGGGAUCAGUUCUUGCCACUUGCGAAGUUUGCCUACAACAACAGUUAUCAGGCGAGUAUUCAGAUGGACCCGUAUAAGGAUUUGUAUGCUAGACGGUGCUGGUCUCCAGUGGGUUGGUUUGAGUCGGGCGAGGCUAGGUUAUUGAGUACGGACUUGGUUCAGGAUACUUUGGAAAAGGUUAAAUUGAUUCAGGAUUGACUUCGUAUAGUCAAGUCCAAGAAGAAGAGUUAUGCAGAUCGAAAGGUUCGCGACGUUGCAUUCAUGGUUGGGGAGCGGGUCUUGCUCCGGUUUUCGCCCAUGAAUGGUGUUAUGAGGUUCGAAAAGAAGGGCAAGUUGAGCCCUAAGCAUAUCGGGCCUUUUGAGAUUCUUGAGAGGGUCGGGAAGGUGGCUUAUAGACUUGCACUAUCACCUAGUCUCAUUGCAGUUCAUCCAGUGUUCCAUGUUUCCAUGCUUCGGAAGUAUCACGGUGAUCCAUCUCAUGUGUUAGACUUCAUCUCAGUCUAGCUGAACAAAGAUCUAUCUUAUGUUGAGGAGCAGUGGCCAUCUUUGACAGGCAGGUCCUAAAGUUGAGAUCAAAGAAUAUCGCUUCAGUGAAGGUGCAGUGGAGGGGUCAUCCAUUCGAGAAGGCAAAUUGGGAGAUCGAGCAUGAUAUGUAUAGCCGAUAUCCUCAUCUUUUCACCACUUCAGGUAUGUCUCUAUACUCAUUCGAGGACGAACGUUUAUUUUAAGAGGAGGAGGAUGUAACGACCCGGUCAGUCGUUUUGAGAGAAUUAGCCUCGAACCCCUAUUUAUUGCUUAUUCUAUUUUAUUUUGUGGUUACGUGACUAGCCGAGAGGAUUUGUUUUUGGUUUCGGAGUGAAAUGGGACACCUAGUCCCUAAAAUGGAAAUUUAAGUUGUAAGAAUUGACCGUAGUUCAAAUUAAGUGAAGAUGACUCCGGAAUAAAGUUUUGAUGGUUCCAAUAGCUCCGUAGGGUGAUUUUUGUCUUAGGAGCGUGUUCAGAUAUUGAAUUGGAGGUCCGUAGGUCAUUUUAGCAUCAAUUGGCGAAAAUUGGAAAAUUGGAUGAUUUUUGGAAAGUUUGAUUGGGGGUGGACUUUUUGAUAUCGGAGUCGGAUUCCGAUUCCGGAAGUUAGAGUAGGUUUGUAAUGUCAAUUAUGACUUGUGUGUAAAAUGUGAGGUUAAUCGGACUUGAUUUGAUAGGUUUCGGCAUCAGAUGUAGAAGUUUGAAGUUUCAAAGUUCAUUAGGCUUGAAUCGAUGCGCAAUUCGUGUUUUUAGCGUUGUUUGAUAUGAUUUAAAGGCUCGACUAAGUUUGUAUGAUGCUUUAGGACUGGUUGGUAUAAUUGUUCAAGGUCCCGGGGGGGCCUCGGGUGGAUUCCGGAUGGUUAGCGGAUCAAUUUGGACUUGUGAGAAUGGCUGAAGGCACCAGGUCUGGUGCAAUCGCACCUGCGCAAGAUUGACCGCAGGUGCGAGCUCGCAGAAGCAAACUGGCGAUUGCAUAUGCGGGGAUGAUGAGGAUGGCCAGUGGUCACAGGUACGGCGUGAAGGCCGCAGAAGCGGAGUCGCUUCUGCGGAAGAUUGAUCAGAGAAGCGGACGACUGCUUGGGAGGCCUGUCCGCAGAAGCGGAUGUAUUUGCGCAGAUGUGCACCUGCAGAAGUGGGCUUUGGACUGCAUAAGCGGUUGGCCAGCGGCAGUGACCUUCCGCAGAAGUGGACGAGGGGCCACAGAUGCGGAUGAUUGUGCGCAGGUGCGGAGUCUAGGAGUUUAGCUGAACUCCGCAUAUGCGGAGAUUUCACUGCAAAAGCGGUACCGCAGAAACGGAUUUUUGACCGCAAAAGCGAAAUCGCUGGGCAGAAAAGGGCCAAAUCCGAGGGUUUGAUUUCAUUCUCCAUUUUUGAACCAAUAGAGCUCGGAUUGAGGCGAACUUUUGAGGGUUUUUCAGAGGAAACAUUUGGGUAAGGAUUCUUGACUUGUUUUUGAUUUAUUUCCACUCAUAAAUCAUUUAUUCUUCAUUUAAUUAAGGAUUUGGGUUGAGAAAUUUGUGAAAAAGGUGGAAAAUCCUUAGGCAGAAAUUUGAGGUUUUGAUUAAGAACUUUGUAUCGAAUUUGAGUAAUUUUGGUAUGGGUGAACUCGAUAUCGAAUGGGUGUUCGUAUUUUUUGACUUUUACCCGAUUCCGAGACGUGAGCCCGGGUAGAAUUUUUGGGGCAAUUUUUUAAUUCUUUGCUAAAGUCGUAAUUUCAUUAUUUAAAUUAAUUUCUUGUAGUUGUAUUCAUAGUAUGUAAUUGCUUUUGGCUAGAUUUGGGCCAUUCAGAGUCGCAAAGUCGAGGGAAAGGCAUUCUUAUCGAUUGAUUGAGCGAGAUUUGAGGUAAGUGACUUGUUUAACCUUAUGUGGGGGAAAUCCCCUUAGGAUUUGGUACUGUUGUAACAAUUUGUGAUAUGUGAGUGUCGUGUACGUGAGGUAACAAGUGCGUACACGAGCUAAAUGUGGAGAUUCUGGUUCUUGUUGAGUAAUCCUCUUUUAAUUCCUUAACCGAGUUGCCUUAGCAUGUGUAGUUAUCAUGUUUAGCCUAGUAUCACAUGCCUACGUGUCUUAACUCUUACUUGCAAUUUGUGCAACAUGCUUAGUUGAAUUACUUGCUUCCUUGAUUUUGUAUUCAGUAUUUAAGUGUAGGAUUCCUUGCUACAAAAUUCGUUGUUCCAUAAGUUACGAGUUGUGUAUUUACUAUUUGGACUACGAGGCGGUACCUCGGGAGCUCUCUGUUGCAUAUUUACUUUUGGGAAUACGAGGCGGUACCUCGGGAGCUCCCCGUUGCAUAUUUGCUUUUGGGACUACGAGGCGGUUCCUCGAGAGCUCCCCUGUUGUGUAUUUACGUUUGGGACUAUGAGGCGGUACCUCGGGAGCGCCCCGGUUGUUUACCUCUAUUUGAUGUGUUGUUAUAUUUCUGUAAUUUCUCAUUGUUAAAUUCUCAGUCAUUUCACUGUAUUAUUAUAUUUUCUGCCUUAUUUCCUUUUAUUCCAGUAGUCCCCUCAUCUGACCUCGUCACUACUCUACCGAGGUUAGGCUUGGCACUUACUGAGUACUGUUGUGGUGUACUCAUGCUACUCUUCUGCACAUCCUUUUGUGCAGAUCCAGGUUCUUCCUACCAGAGCAGAUACCAGUGAGAUAGCCUGUACGUGGAGACUUCAAGGUACAUCUGCCAGCGUCCGCAAAUCUCGGAGUUCCCCUCUAUCCUUAUUAUGUUAUUUUCCUUAAACUCUGAUGUAUAAAGACACUUAGCAUUUCUCUUUAUAGCUUGUGACUUAUUUCUACCGGGUUUUGGGAGUUAUAAUUAUUUUGAACCGCAGUUUUUAUAUAUUUCAUAUGUUGAGGUUUGAGUUCUGUUUUAUAUUCUGUUAUUCCGCAAAAUUGUUUGGCUUACCUAGUCAUAGAGACUAGGUACCGUCACGAUAUCCUGUAGAGAGAAAUUUGGGUCGUGACACUCAUUUACCCCUUCCUAUACAAAUGUUAAGAACCUUACCAAUCCAGCUAUGCACUUACCUAAACCUGCAGAGGAUAAGGGUAGAAGGAGAAGGCUAACCCCUGCGAAAUUGAGUGAAAAAAGGGCUAAGGACUUAUGUUAUGUGUGUGAUGAAAAGUUCCAGCCAAGUCAUGUGUGCAAAUUCAAGGCACAGUUGUUCUAGGUGGAGUUAGAGGAAGAAGGAAUAAAAGGAUUAAUAAUUAAAGAAAAGCAUGAGACUGAGGAGUUGGCAGAUGCUUGCGAGAUAUCCCUUCAUGCUCUUAAUGGUGCAAAGAAAUACAGAACCAUGAGAGUCACAGGGUAUUGCCACCAGAGACAGCUUAAUAUCUUGAUUAAUAGUGGCUCCACUCAUAAUUUCCUAGACUCUGAGUUGGUGGAGAGUAUGGGAUGGUAAAUAGAUCAAUGUCCACCCACAAAUGUGAGCUUGGCAAAUGGCAAUACAGUGCAGGUGCAUAAGAUCUGCAGAGGCUUAGAAUAGUUGAUGCAAGGCAAUGUGUCUAAGGCCGAAUUCCUCUUGUUGCCUUUUGAAAAUUGUGAUAUGGUUUUAGGCAUCUAAUGGUUAGGUGAGCUAGGAGAUAUCAUGUUCAAUUUUAAGAAAUUGACCAUGAAAUUUGAGUAUCAGGGAAGGCUAAUUUCAUUACAAGGAACAAUCCAUCAGUUGAAAGUAGUGGAUUCAGACUCUUUGCAGCACAUCAAUAGGGGUAAUGCCCAGUUAUUCAUGAUCAAAACAGUUCCAAUUAGGGGUGGGCAUUCGGUAUAUUCAGUUCAGUUUGAAGAAAUUCGGUUUGGUUAUUUGAUUUUCGGUUUUGUAAAAGUAGUAACCGAAAUCGAACUGAAAUAAGUUCGGUUCAGUUCGAUUUUUUAAUUUCGGUUUAAUUUAUUUCUAAUUGAUUUUCGGUUUGAAUAUUAUCAUAUUGGACUCUCUCUAUGUAAUAAUUGGACUGACAAAUUUGUUGGUUUUCUUUCAAAAUUUCGGUAAGUUAGAAUAAAAUGGUAAGUUUGGAUUGGGUAUUUGAUGGACUUCAAAAUUGAGCUUAUAUUAUUACCUAUGGGCUUAGCCUAUAUACAACUUAAAGAAUCUAUAUGCUAAUAAUUUGGUUUUUCGGUUAACCGAACCAAAUAAAUUAAUAACCGAAAACCGAACCAAAAAACUGAAAUUUUAAAAUUUUAAACUGAAACCGACCGAAAAAACUGAAUACCUGAAAUCGAAAUAAAAAUAUUUUUGGUUCGGUCGGUUUCUUCAGUUCGGACCGAAAUAUGCCCACCCCUAGUUCCAAUGGAAGAUAGUUGCACAGAAUUGAUAGGGGCAACCACUCAAACUCAUGAACCUGAGGAGAUUCAGUCUAUCUUAGAAGAAUAUGUGGAACUUUUUGGAGAGCCUCAGGACCUUCCACCUUCCAGGGAGCUAUUUGACCAUCACAUACCACUUCAGGAAGGGGCCAAGGCUGUGAACAACAGACCAAAUAAGUAUUCCCCAAUGCAGAAGGAUGUGAUAGAAAAGAUGGUGAAUGAAUUGUUGACCCAAGGUUUGAUUCAACAGAGUUGCAGCCCUUUUGCAUCUCCUGUGGUUUUGGUGGGAAAGAAGGAUGGAAGCUGGAGGAUGUGUGUGGAUUACAGGGCUUUGAAUCAAAUUACUAUCAAAGAUAAGUUUCCCAUACCCAUUAUCGAAUAAUUACUGGAUGAAUUGGGUUCUAAGAUCGACCUGAGGUCUGGAUACUAUCAAAUUCGAAUGGCCCCUGCUGAUGUCAAUAAAACUGCUUUAGGACAUAUUCUGGCCAUUUUGAGUACUUAGUCAUGCCAUUUGGGCUGACUAAUGCACCUUCGAGCUUUUAGAGCCUAAUGAAUCACAUAUUUAAGGAUCAACUCAGAAAAUUUAUUUUGGUAUUUUUUUAUGACAUCUUGAUAUACAGUAGGAGUUUGGAGGAAUAUGUCCAGCAUCUCAGAAUAACCUUUGCAAUACUCAGGCAACAUCAGCUAUAUGCACGAAAGACUAAAUGUGUUUUUGCUGCAGCAAGAGUAGAAUAUUUGGGCUACUGCAUCUCAGCAAAAAGGGUAUCUACAGACCCAAAUAAGAUACAAGUUGUGGCAGACUGGCCAAUUCCUAAUAAUGUCAAGCAAUUGAGAGGUUUUUUGGGGUUGGCUGGCUAAUACAGGUGAUUCAUCAGAGGAUAUGGCAUUAUAAGCAAGGCAUUGACUAACCUACUCAGGAAAGACAACUUCAACUGGAGUGACAAGGCAACUCUAGCUUUUGAAGAACUGAAGAAAGCGUUGACCACAACACCCUUGCUGGCUAUGCCAGACUUCUCUAUUCCUUUUAUUGUCGAGGCUGAUGCGUAUGAUGUGGGGAUUGGGGCUGUCCUGAUGCAUAAGGGGAAACCAAUUGCUUAUUUGAGCAAGGGUCUUUCAGUGAAGCACCAAUCUUUGUCAGUUUAUGACAAGGAACUAUUGGCAUUAGUUCUUGCAGUCACAAAAUGGAGUUAGUACUUGGUAUGCAGGCACUUCAUAGUUCGAAUAGAUCAAAAGGCAUUAAAAUUCUUGCUGGAACAAAAAUUGCAUACCGGUUCCCAGUUGAAAUGGGUGACUAAACUAAUGUAAUUUGACUUUGAAAUAGAGUAUAAGAAGGGGAAAGAGAAUAAAGUUGUUGAUGCUUUAUCUAGACUUCAUAUUGCUGAGUUAUCUGCUAUGACCAUAUCUACAGUUAGAACUGAUUUGCUGCAGAAUAUUGGGAGAAGUUGGGCAGAAUAUCCUGCCCUUCAGGAGCUGACCAAACAGUUACAAACAGGAAGUGAGGUCAAGGGGUACACUUAUGUACAUCAGCAACUCAUAAGACAUGGUAAAUUGGUAAUUGGAGCCAAUGUGGCUCUCAGGAAGAAGAUCCUCCAGUUAUGGCAUGACUCACCUUAAGAAGGGCAUUCAGGAGUAGAAAACACUUAUAGAAGACUGUCUGCACUGUUCUACUGGAAGGGCAUGAGGGAAGAUGUGACAACUCAUGUUAAAGCUUAUGAUGUCUGUAUAAGGAACAAGUAUAAAACCAUUGCCUACCCAGGUCUCCUCCAACCUUUACAGAUUCCUUCAGUGGCAUGGGCCAGUAUUAGUAUGGAUUUCAUUGAGGGAUUGCCUAAAUCUAAGGGCAAAUCAGUAGUUUGGGUGGUAGUGGAUAGGCUCACAAAGUAUGCCCAUUUCAUAGUAUUAUCACACCCUUAUUCAGCUGGUGACAUAACUAAGUUGUUCAUGGAAAAUAUUUUCAGGUUACAUGGUAUGCCUGCAGAGAUAAUCAAUGACAGGGACCAUAUAUUUACAAGUAAAAUUUGGAGGGAAGUGUUUGCAAUACAGGGAGUGACAUUGAACACAUCCACUACCUACCAUCCACAAUCCGAUGGUCAGACAGAGGUGGCCAACCGAUGCCUCAAAACGUAUCUGAGGUGUUAUACUUCUGAUUCACCAACUGAUUGGGCACAAUAACUGGUUUUUGUUGAGUGGUGGUAUAAUACUUACUUUCACUCCUCUAUUCACACCACCCCUUAUGAGGCUUUAUAUGGGCAGCCUCCCUCCCUCUUUGCACCUUCCUUACAUGGCUGGAGAUUUUGAGGUGGAAGAGGUAGAUAGGAGAUUGAUUACUAGGGAAUUCAAGUUCCAGUUGCUUAAUUAUCAUUUAGCCAGAGCACAACAACGAAUGAUAGACCAGGCUAACAAGCACAGGACUGACAUGCAAUUUAAAGAGGGAGAUUGGGUUUAUGUCAAGAUUCAACUGUACAGGCAGCUUACCAUGUCUCAGCAUCACUUUAACAAGCUUUCUGCCAAGUACUAUGGUCCAUAUAUGGUGGAGCAGAAGGUAGGCUCAGUGGAAUACAAGCUAGUCCUUCCAACUGAGCUUAUGUUGCACCUUAUAUUUCAUGUCUCUUUGCUCAAGCCUUGCUGUGAAGUACCACCUCAGAUUUCUUACCCUCCAGUACUUAACCUUGCCAGUCCAUAUUGCCCUCAACCAAAAAUGGUGCUCGAUGGGAGGAUGAUACAUAAAGGUUAAAGAUGUUGCUCAGCUUUUAAUCCAAUGGGAUUGGAUGUCAGAAGAUCAAGCAACGUGGGAGGAUGCCAACACUAUCAGAUUGAGGUUUCCAAACUUCUUUCCCUGAGGACAAGGAAGAUAUUAACAAAGGGGAAUUGAUACGAGAUUGGGCUUGGAAUGAGAAGUGGACCCCUUUUAUUAUUCAUAGUUGCUUAGCCCAUAA